rnacentral:rRNA from 1 species
CAGUCGAGGGGCAGCAUCAUCAAAGCUUGCUUUGAUGGACGGCGACCGGCGCACGGGUGAGUAACACGUAUCCAACCUGCCGACAACACUGGGAUAGCCUUUCGAAAGAAAGAUUAAUACCGGAUGGCAUAGUUUUCCCGCAUGGGAUAAUUAUUAAAGAAUUUCGGUUGUCGAUGGGGAUGCGUUCCAUUAGGCAGUUGGCGGGGUAACGGCCCACCAAACCAACGAUGGAUAGGGGUUCUGAGAGGAAGGUCCCCCACAUUGGAACUGAGACACGGUCCAAACUCCUACGGGAGGCAGCAGUGAGGAAUAUUGGUCAAUGGACGAGAGUCUGAACCAGCCAAGUAGCGUGAAGGAUGACUGCCCUAUGGGUUGUAAACUUCUUUUAUACGGGAAUAAAGUUAGCCACGUGUGGCUUUUUGUAUGUACCGUAUGAAUAAGGAUCGGCUAACUCCGUGCCAGCAGCCGCGGUAAUACGGAGGAUCCGAGCGUUAUCCGGAUUUAUUGGGUUUAAAGGGAGCGUAGGCGGGUUGUUAAGUCAGUUGUGAAAGUUUGCGGCUCAACCGUAAAAUUGCAGUUGAUACUGGCGACCUUGAGUGCAACAGAGGUAGGCGGAAUUCGCGGUGUAGCGGUGAAAUGCUUAGAUAUCACGAAGAACUCCGAUUGCGAGGGCAGCUUACUGGAUUGUAACUGACGCUGAUGCUCGAAAGUGUGGGUAUCAAACAGGAUUAGAUACCCUGGUAGUCCACACAGUAAACGAUGAAUACUCGCUGUUGGCGAUAUACAGUCAGCGGCCAAGCGAAAGCAUUAAGUAUUCCACCUGGGGAGUACGCCGGCNACGGUGAAACUCANAGGAAUUGACGGGGGCC